GGGCGGUUAGUUCAUCGGUGGAACGCUUCACUGAUAAUGAAGAGGUGAAUGGUUCGAUUCCAUUACCGCCCA
rnacentral:tRNA from 1 species